AUACUCCAAUCUUGGCAACAGAGAAGACAGACACACCGUAGAAAAAGUGUUGUCACACACACAACACUGCUUACCUGUGUUUCCUGUCUUUUUCCAAUCUUUGACCCAACGAAACAACAACCCUUACCAUCACCACCUUUCGGCGCUCUUUUUCUUUUAUCCCAUUUUUUUCUUCUUUCUUUCCCUCCACACACCCCCGUUUUUCUCAUUAUUUCUUUUCACACCCCCAUCAACCACCACCACCACACAACCAUAUAUGUUUUUCUCUUCCCAUUAUUACCCACACUAUAUGCAAAUCAAAACCACUUCAUAAAUAUUUAUUUAUUUUUUUUUUUAAUUUUCAAAUCUAACAACACACUUUUCAGGU